ensembl:lncRNA SATB1-AS1 SATB1 antisense RNA 1
GGGAGCUUAGAUGUGGAAGCUCUUUGGAAACCAAGAAACACUCUGAAAAUGAAAAGGGGUCUUUUAUUAUGUCUUCCUUGAAGUGCUCUGAUCAGAUCUGCAAUACUGGAGAUGUAAAUUCAACUCUACUUUUUUUUUCUUUUAAAAAGAAGAGCAACAUAAUCCUUAGUGAUCCUAAAUAUUAUUCAACUUAUCUUAACAUUCAAUUUCUUUAUAUAGCAAAGGAAUGCAUUUUUAGCAAUGAAAUAAACAGCAAACAUUGACAUUGCUUAUUAACAGUAUUUACGGUCGAAGUGCCCCACAUAUUCUGAAAGGUUAUGUUGUACAUUCUUUUAAGAAGACUUCAGGGUUUUCUACUGAAAGAAUUUGAAAAUCAAGACUUGGAAGGGUCCUGAGAGCAACAUUCUAUAGAGGAAAAGGCUAAAAAGUACCCCAGGAUCUUCAGUAGCAGUGAUAGUAUGGCUUUGUUUUCCUUCACUGGACUAGGCUCCAUAACUAAGCGUCUUAUAUUUGGAAGUCAAAAUGCAUUUGUUUGUCUUCUUACAACAUAGAGAACACAUGCUUACAAAAUCAAAGGAGAGCAUUGACUAUUGUGACCUGUUUAACAUAUUUCUCCGCUUUGCUUCGGAUGAGAGAUUUCAAAUCUCAUCAUUAAUGUGGUGAAAAAUAUUGAAUUGGAAAACACUAACAUUGUCUUCCCAUAUUGAGUCAUUGUCUGUUUGUAACUUCCAAACAAGAAAAAGAUAUUAAUGGUCACCUUGGCUGUUUCCUUGUGACCUCCAACAUGGCUCGCAUUUAAAAUUGAAUCUGGACU